UGGGGAAUAUUGCGCAAUGGGGGAAACCCGUGACGCAGCAACGCCGCGUGAUCGAAGAAGGUCUUCGGAUUGUAAAGAUCUUUUAUCAGGGACGAAGAAAGUGACGGUACCUGAUGAAUAAGCUCCGGCUAACUACGUGCCAGCAGCCGCGGUAAUACGUAGGGAGCGAGCGUUAUCCGGAUUUACUGGGUGUAAAGGGCGUGUAGGCGGAGAUGCAAGUUGGGAGUGAAAUCCCGGGGCUCAACCCCGGAACUGCUUUCAAAACUGUAUCCCUUGAGUAUCGGAGAGGCAAGCGGAAUUCCUAGUGUAGCGGUGAAAUGCGUAGAUAUUAGGAGGAACACCAGUGGCGAAGGCGGCUUGCUGGACGACAACUGACGCUGAGGCGCGAAAGCGUGGGGAGCAAACAGGAUUAGAUACCCUGGUAGU
rnacentral:rRNA from 1 species